UACGGAGGGUGCGAGCGUUAAUCGGAAUUACUGGGCGUAAAGCGUGCGUAGGCGGUUAUUUAAGUCAGAUGUGAAAGCCCUGGGCUUAACCUGGGAACGGCAUUUGAAACUGGGUAGCUAGAGUUAGGUAGAGGGGAGUGGAAUUUCAGGUGUAGCGGUGAAAUGCGUAGAUAUCUGAAGGAACACCAGUGGCGAAGGCGGCUCCCUGGACCCAAACUGACGCUGAGGUACGAAAGCGUGGGUAGCAAACAGG
rnacentral:rRNA from 1 species